UACGUAGGGUGCAAGCGUUAUCCGGAAUUAUUGGGCGUAAAGAGCUCGUAGGCGGUUUGUCGCGUCUGCUGUGAAAACUGGAGGCUCAACCUCCAGCCUGCAGUGGGUACGGGCAGACUAGAGUGCGGUAGGGGAGAUUGGAAUUCCUGGUGUAGCGGUGGAAUGCGCAGAUAUCAGGAGGAACACCGAUGGCGAAGGCAGGUCACUGGGCCGCAACUGACGCUGAGGAGCGAAAGCAUGGGGAGCGAACAGG
rnacentral:rRNA from 1 species